UACGAAGGGGGGCUAGCGUUGUUCGGAAUUACUGGGCGUAAAGCGCACGUAGGCGGGUUUGUAAGUAGGGGGGUGAAAUCCCAGGGCUCAACCUUGGAACUGCCUUUGAAACUCCCAGUCUUGAGUUCGAGAGAGGUGAGUGGAAUUCCGAGUGUAGAGGUGAAAAUUCGUAGAUAUUCGGAGGAACACCAGUGGCGAAGGCGGCUCACUGGCUCGAUACUGACGCUGAGGUGCGAAAGCGUGGGGAGCAAACAGG
rnacentral:rRNA from 1 species